UCCAUCUCAACCAGGUGCGGUCGCGGCCCCCGGGGGUUCUCUCCCGGGUGGUAGGGGUAACACCUUCACGCGCCGCAUGUCUGAAUCCUUUUUUUACGAGCACCUUUCGUUCUCCUUCGGUGGGGCAACCUGCCGUUGGAACUCAACAAAACCUUUUUUGCAUCUAGCAUUACCUGUUCUGAUAAAAAUAAUCGUUA
rnacentral:misc_RNA from 1 species